UACGAAGGGGGCUAGCGUUGCUCGGAAUCACUGGGCGUAAAGCGCACGUAGGCGGAUCCUUAAGUCGGGGGUGAAAUCCUGGAGCUCAACUCCAGAACUGCCUUCGAUACUGAGGAUCUCGAGUCCGGGAGAGGUGAGUGGAACUGCGAGUGUAGAGGUGAAAUUCGUAGAUAUUCGCAAGAACACCAGUGGCGAAGGCGGCUCACUGGCCCGGGUACUGACGCUGAGGUGCGAAAGCGUGGGGAGCAAACGGG
rnacentral:rRNA from 1 species